rnacentral:tRNA from 1 species
AACUCCGUGGUGUAAUGGUAGCACAACUGGUUUUGGUCCAGUUAGUUCAAGUUCGAAUCUUGACGGGGUUGCCA